rnacentral:misc_RNA from 1 species
GAUGAAGAACGUAGCGAAAUGCGAUAAGUAAUGUGAAUUGCAGAAUUCAGUGAAUCAUCGAAUCUUUGAACGCACAUUGCGCCCGCCAGUAUUCUGGCGGGCAUGCCUGUUCGAGCGUCAUUUCAACCAUCAAGCCUCAGGCUUGUGUUGGAGCCCUGCGGCUGCCGCAGCCUCCCAAAACCAGUGGCGGGCUCGCUAUCACACCGAGUGCAGUAGUUUACUCUUCGCUCAGGGCGUGUGGCGGGUGCUAGCCGUGAAACCCCCAACUUCUCAAGGUUGACCUCGGAUCAGGUAGGAAUACCCGCUGAACUUAAGCAUAUCAAUAAGCGGAGGA